CUGCUGCCUUCCGUAGGAGUUUGGGCCGUGUCUCAGUCCCAAUGUGGCCGUUCACCCUCUCAGGCCGGCUACUGAUCGUUGCCUUGGUAGGCCAUUACCCCCACCAACUAGCUAAUCAGACGCGGAACCAUCGUAUACCACCAGAGUUUUUCACACCGCUUCAUGCGAAGCUGUGCGCUUAUGCGGUAUUAGCACCUAUUUCUAAGUCGUUAUCCCCCAGUAUACGGCAGGUUUUCCACGCGUUACUCACCCGUCCGCCAA
rnacentral:rRNA from 1 species